UAACGAACUAAAACAGAUCGUAUACUCAUUGUCACAAUCUGAGACUAAAUCAAAAAUAUUGGAAUUCGCGUUAAAAAACUCGUAGAAAUUCAUCCCUCCUCAAUCACCUCAUAUGGGAUGAUUGUGGGAGGCUACCGUCAAAUCAGCAAAAACGCAUUUGAAGGCUGUCAUUAAAGAUGCAUUCUUGACGUUCGAAGAAUUGUAUACAAUAAUUGUCCAAGUUGAGGCGACAUUAAACUCGCGACCGUUAUGUCCGAUAACAGCUGACCUUGCUGACUUGAGUGCGCUCACACCAGGACAUUUUCUGAUAGGGACUGCAUUAAAUUCAGUCCUGGAGGAAGAUGUACUGGAUGUGCCGAGAAACCGUACAAACAGAUUUUAAUUGAUUUCUCAGAUGCACCAAUCUUUUUGGAAAAGAUGGGCUUCUGAAUAUGUAACACAAUUGCAGGCUCGAUCGAAGUGGAGAUCAAAAACUGAUGAUAGUAUGUUAAAAAUUGGACAAUUGGUUGUCAUAAAAAGUGAUAAUGUACCUCCACUUCGGUGGCAGUUAGGUGGGAUAUGCGAAUUGCAUCCCGGAGUGGAUGGAUUGAUAAGGGUUGUAAGUGUAAAGACGAAUGCAGGAGUGUUAAAAAGAUCAUUACCGAGAGUUUGUAUUCUUCCUUUGGACAUUUGAAUUAUAUUCUGAUCUUAAAAAAUCAUCGACAAAUUAAAUUUUAAUUAUUUAACAAUGUGAUAAUUUAAUUGAGAAAAUUUUAUUGAAAAACUUUAUCUCUUUUUAUUCGACUGGUCUUUCAAGGUGGGCGGCAUGAUUGAUACUAUAUGUGCUUUGCUGUGAGAGUACUGUGAGAGAAUGCGUGUUAUCUUUGUAAGCUUGUGCGUGUCUUAGAAGUGUGUGUAAGGUGCGCAAAUUUGGAAAGAAGGGUCAGUCUUGCUAUAGCUAUUGAAUCAAAAGCAAUGUAAUUUACACAAGAAAAUAUAAGUAAUUAUUAACCAAGAAAAACGUUUCACACUUUGUUUUUACUUCAUCUCGCAUCAUCUUGAUGCAUUAAAGUUUGCCUUCAGAUCUUUCUACUGCCAUCGAGGAAGAUGUUUCAUGAUAAAAAUGCUGAUAAUUACUUUAAAACCUUACAACAUUCUAAAAUAGACGUAAAAAUAGUCGUUUAUCAUCAAUUUUUCAAAAAUUUCUCAACUGUGAUAUUUAUGUUGGACUUUCUGGAUUUUGGAUUUCCUAACCUUUGGACUUUUUGUCCUUUGGACCUUUCGGAUUGGAUAAUCGGUCUUGGACCUUUUAUUUUGGACUUUCUGUACUGCUACCAUUGAGACACGUGAUAAUACGGAACAAUAUUCUUGGCAAAAAAUUGUAACACAAACACAUUGAGUGAAAGUAUCUAAAAUAAAAGUUAUACAUAGUAGAUA